rnacentral:lncRNA from 1 species
AUCCAGAAUCCAUACAAUCCACCAUUACUUCCACCUGGUCUGACCCUCCAUCAGCAUUCCCCUAGAAGCCAUAUUAACCUACUACAAAUAUGUGGCAUGAUAUGUGUUUGUUAGUCAAUCCUCUCCUAAACAGAUAAUAAAUUCCAUGAGACUAAUGUUCAUAUUUUGUUCAUUGUUCCUCUGAACCUUUAUCAGUAGCUGAUGUAUCAAAGGCAUACCAUAAAUAUGUGCAGGAUGAACUAAUGGAUGGAUGGAUAUCUCAACAAUGGGAAAUGAAGAUGGUAAUCUUCCUCCUGCAUCACAACAAAAGUCAAGUAGGACCUAACCUGUACAAGCACCUCUAUGAUAGUCACCAAUUCGCAUGGUAAGAUCAGCUUCCAGACUUGCCCAGCCUCAGCCCCAUAGUCUAUUCUCUGUAUAGAUGUGAAAAUGACCUUUUAAAUAUUAAAUCAAAUUCCUCUGUUCAAAAUUCCCCAGUGGCUGCACAGCACACUCAUUUCAUAACCUUCCCUAUUACUUGUCACACUUUAUCUCCUGUUACUAUCCUUGUCCUGACUCUUGUCCAACCACACUGGCUUCUUUAGCUGGACCCGAGACUUGCCAAACAUGCUUUCCCCUUUGCACAGACUGAUCCUUCUGGCUAGAACAGUCUUCCUUUAAAUAGCAACAUCUUCAAGUUUUUUGAACUUGAAGCUACUUGAACUGAGAUACAUCCCCAGCCCUUUUUAUUUUUAUUCUUUUGAGACAAGGUCUCCUUAAGUUACACAGGCUGGCCUUGAACUUGCAAUCCCCCUGCUUCUGUCUCCCAGAUCUCUGGAAUUAUAGGCAUGCACCAUGGCCCCUUCAAGUUUUUAAUGUGAAAUGUCACCUUCAGCAAACACUUCUGAAACAAUCCAGCCAUACCUCCAACAUAUCCCUUUCUCCAUUCACAGGCUCCAACAGUCUCCAGUUCUUUCCAGAGCCAUGGUGCAGAGUUGUAGGGGUAAGAUGGACAUAAAAUAAAAUGUGAAAGUACUCCCUGAAUUUGUGUGUACUGUGAAUACCUCAGUUUGUUUUUCUCAAGAGUUGUUAUCACCUAGCAUGUCAUAUUGUUUGUUACUAUUAUCUAUCUCCCCCGAUGAGACUGUCAGCUCACCAAGGGUAGAAAUGUCUAUUGCAUAUUUACUGCUAUAGCCCCAGUUCUUAGAACAAUACCUAGUACAUAGUAUAUACUAAAAAAUGAAUGAUUCACCAAAUAAAAACAAAUGAUUUUUAUUCUCUUCUGUAACUUAUCCCUAUUUUUCCUUUACUUUUAAAGCCAGAAAGAUGUAUAAAAAGGAAAAAAAAAUGUAUGAGAGUGCUCAUUUCCUUGUUCUUAUUCUUAGCCUGGGAAAUAAACUAAAUUUCUUCUGUAUUCAAAGUAAAGAACAACUAAAGAUGAACAUCUGUUUAAACUAUUGUUGAAUAAAAUGCCAAUAAAACAUAUCUAAGCUCUGCAGUUAUUUCCAUGGGUUUUCCCCACUCCCACUGACUUUGGUAUAGUUUCUGAUCAAUCAGGAUAGUGGGAGAUGACCCACUUUCAUAACAUCUGAAGCUAUUCAAUUUUUCUAUGAUACAAUUCCAUCAUGGGCCAAGUAGAAUGGUCCAGCAGAGAGAUGCUCUCACUUUCUCUCAAAAGGUUAUCCUUUUGGCUUUCUUUUGAGAUAGUGUUUCCUAGACAGGUGAAAAAUUGAAGCUUAUCUCUAAGGGCAAAGCUAUGUGAUGAAAACUUUUUCUCCCUUACCAAUCCUCC